AGAUACAUGUUUAACAACAGCCUCGUAGCCUUGUCACCUGAUCAGUUCCAAGGCCUCUCCAAUCUGAGCGACCUGGCUGUUUAUGAAAACAAUAUUGACUACCUGCCGCGUGGAGUUUUUGAAGGCAUGAAAAACAUGAUGUCUAUGAGCUUUUAUUCCAAUAAGAUCCGCACAGUGACCAACGAACAAUUCAAAGAUGUCGCCCCAACUAUUCGAUUCUUGUGAGUUUGACUAAACUGAUAAUA